UACAGAGGUCCCAAGCGUUUGUUCGGAUUCAUUGGGCGUAAAGGGUGUGUAGGUGGCGCCGUAAGUCGGGUGUGAAAUCUCGGGGCUUAACUCCGAAACUGCAUUCGAUACUGCGGUGCUUGAGGACUGGAGAGGAGACUGGAAUUCAUGGUGUAGCAGUGAAAUGCGUAGAGAUCAUGAGGAAGACCAGUGGCGAAGGCGGGUCUCUGGACAGUUCCUGACACUGAGACACGAAGGCCAGGGGAGCAAACGGG
rnacentral:rRNA from 1 species